ACGACGCCCGACCUUUCCCCCACUACGUAUCUUUGUUACCCCCCACCACUCUACGUACGGUGAAUUACCGAACUAUGCUGUUCCCUCUCUCUCUCCCACUCUCUCUCUCUCUCUCUCCCUCCCUCUUUCUCUUUCUCUUUCUUUCUUUCUAUUUUUCUAUUUCCUUCUCAGUCGCACUGACGUCGCUACUGCGACGACCGGCGCAUCCCUCGUCUUUCCAUUUUCAACGCCGCAGAAAAGUGCAGCCCCAUCUGUAUUAUCCUCCACUACUCCAUCCUAUCUACGCUCCUCCCCGCACCUCAACUAGCUAACCACAAAAAACCACCCCUACCGCUCGUCACCCCUCGUCGAGAACAAGUGGUGGAAAGGCCGAGAGAGACCGUGUCUUCCUAAAAACUUCUUUCUCUCCUUCUCUCUCUCUCUCUCUCUCUUCCUGUUUUUCCUCCCCGUUUUAUGCAACCCUCGUGCGCAAAGGAACGUACAAUCUUCUCUUUACACCCUCUCCCUCUUUCUCACCAACACGCAACCAACAUUUUUAUAGGUUAUCCUACGAACUCUCUUAUGUUUCGAGAAAAUUUUCAAAGGACUUUGAAACUGUUGUCUUUGGUACGAGCUCAGGGGAUGACAGAAUAAAACUGUUACAAGCAUGAUCUCUAUUUACACACAUCCAUAUUCGUACCAAAUUGGACAACCUGUUUUUGGAUCCUUAUCUGUUGGAGUUUCUGUAAGGCCUUCAUCUUGAACCAUAUCUUUUGGCGUUCCACUAUUAAUAUUUUUCGAUUCGUUUAUAACUGCGGAUACUUUGUUGUAUAUUAAAAAUGGACGUGCUUCUGUU